rnacentral:rRNA from 1 species
GAUGAACGCUGGCGGCGUGCCUAAUACAUGCAAGUCGAGCGAACGGACGAGAAGCUUGCUUCUCUGAUGUUAGCGGCGGACGGGUGAGUAACACGUGGAUAACCUACCUAUAAGACUGGGAUAACUUCGGGAAACCGGAGCUAAUACCGGAUAAUAUUUUGUACCGCAUGGUUCAAAAGUGAAAGACGGUCUUGCUGUCACUUAUAGAUGGACCCGCGCUGCAUUAGCUAGUUGGUAAGGUAACGGCUUACCAAGGCAACGAUGCAUAGCCGACCUGAGAGGGUGAUCGGCCACACUGGAACUGAGACACGGUCCAGACUCCUACGGGAGGCAGCAGUAGGGAAUAUUCCGCAAUGGGCGAAAGCCUGACGGAGCAACGCCGCGUGAGUGAUGAAGGUCUUCGGAUCGUAAAACUCUGUUAUUAGGGAAGAACAUAUGUGGAAGUAACUGUGCACAUCUUGACGGUACCUAAUCAGAAAGCAACGGCUAACUACGUG